CUGGCGGCGUGCCUAAUACAUGCAAGUCGAACGGUCUUUCUAUGGAAGCUUGCUUCCACUGAGAAGAUAGUGGCGAACGGGUGAGUAACACGUGGGUAACCUGCCCAUAAGAGGGGGGAUAACAUCCGGAAACGGGUGCUAAUACCGCAUAGUUUUCUUGAUCGCAUGAUUGAGAAAGGAAAGACGGCCUUUGUGCUGUCGCUUAUGGAUGGACCCGCGGCGUAUUAGUUAGUUGGUGAGGUAACGGCUCACCAAGACGAUGAUACGUAGCCGACCUGAGAGGGUGAUCGGCCACAUUGGGACUGAGACACGGCCCAAACUCCUACGGGAGGCAGCAGUAGGGAAUCUUCCGCAAUGGACGAAAGUCUGACGGAGCAACGCCGCGUGAGUGAAGAAAGGUUUUCGGAUCGUAAAACUCUGUUGUCAGAGAAGAACAAGUUGGAGAGUAACUGCUCCAGCCUUGACGGUAUCUGACCAGAAAGCCACGGCUAACUACGUGCCAGCCGCAGC
rnacentral:rRNA from 1 species